rnacentral:rRNA from 1 species
UGGGGAAUAUUGGACAAUGGGCGCAAGCCUGAUCCAGCCAUGCCGCGUGAGUGAUGAAGGCCCUAGGGUUGUAAAGCUCUUUCACCGGUGAAGAUAAUGACGGUAACCGGAGAAGAAGCCCCGGCUAACUUCGUGCCAGCAGCCGCGGUAAUACGAAGGGGGCUAGCGUUGUUCGGAUUUACUGGGCGUAAAGCGCACGUAGGCGGACUAUUAAGUCAGGGGUGAAAUCCCGGGGCUCAACCCCGGAACUGCCUUUGAUACUGGUAGUCUUGAGUUCGAGAGAGGUGAGUGGAAUUCCGAGUGUAGAAGUGAAAUUCGUAGAUAUUCGGAGGAACACCAGUGGCGAAGGCGGCUCACUGGCUCGAUACUGACGCUGAUGUGCGAAAGCGUGGGGAUCAAACAGG